CUCUGAACCGCGCAACACCUAUCCCUACGUAGUCUUCGAUACAACGAAGUAUCUCUACGAAAUUUCUUGAAGUGUUUAACGAUUCGUAACGAGUAUUUUACAAUGUGCAUCAACCUUUGCAACAGGGAAGAAGUACAAGCAAAUUAUGGUCUUUUGAAUAUGAUAAUUCCAAGACAACUGACACGCCAAGUUGACCGGCCUAGAUAUUAUUGUUUGAUACGAGUCGCACCUGCCUACCGCACCAACGACUAUUCACUUUGUGGAUUUUGCUACAGAAAUUUACUUAUGAUGGAAGCGGACGUACGGAUGUACGAAGAAGCAAAUUAUCAUAGCAUUUGCGGAGUCUCAGGCCGCGCACGUGUCCUUCGUUGCGACUCAUGCGAAAAACGAAUAGGACGGCUAAUACCCGCAGACGAGUGUCGGCUGUGCGCCGAGCAGUUGCCUAUACUGACUACAAAUCAGAUAAAUUCGUUAGCUCAGGGGAAAUUAGUACGCAUUGAUUAUCAUCCGUGAUAACAAUUUUUUUGCUGUCACAUAAUCGGAACUAUGUACGGAACUGUUGCGAUUCUUUCAACCGCACGCGGAUCAGAGGUUACAGCAGCGAAUGAUCGUUUAUAAUAUUUUCUUCUUAUUAUAUUAUUAAUAUUCUUGUUAUUAUAAAUAAACUAUAUUAUUAAUAUUC